AUGAACGCUGGCGGCGUGCCUAAUCCAUGCCAGUCGAGCGAACAGACGAGGAGCUUGCUCCUCUGACGUUAGCGGCGGACGGGUGAGUAACACGUGGAUAACCUACCUAUAAGACUGGGAUAACUUCGGGAAACCGGAGCUAAUACCGGAUAAUAUAUUGAACCGCAUGGUUCAAUAGUGAAAGACGGUUUUGCUGUCACUUAUAGAUGGAUCCGCGCCGCAUUAGCUAGUUGGUAAGGUAACGGCUUACCAAGGCAACGAUGCGUAGCCGACCUGAGUGGCUGAUCGGCCACCUUGGAAGUGAGACACGGUCAAGACUACUACGGGAGGCAGCAGUAGGGUAUCUGCGGCAAUGGGCGAAAGCAUGACGGAGCAAGCCCGAGUGAGUUAUGGCGGCCUUCGGAUCGUGAAGCUGUGUUUUUAGGUAUGAACAAAUGUGUAAGUAAAUAUGCACGUCUUGACGGUAACUAGUCAGAAAGCCACGGCUAACUACGUG
rnacentral:rRNA from 1 species